GACGAACGCUGGCGGCGUGCUUAACACAUGCAAGUCGAACGAUGAAGCCGGAGCUUGCUCCGGUGGAUUAGUGGCGAACGGGUGAGUAACACGUGAGCAAUCUGCCCUUGACUCUGGGAUAACUGCGGAAAACUGUAGCUAAUACCGGAUACGACACCUUGGGGCAUCCCAGGGUGUGGAAAGAAUUUCGGUCAAGGAUGAGCUCGCGGCCUAUCAGCUAGUUGGUGAGGUAAUGGCCCACCAAGGCGACGACGGGUAGCCGGCCUGAGAGGGUGACCGGCCACACUGGAACUGAGACACGGUCCAGACUCCUACGGGAGGCAGCAGUGGGGAAUAUUGCACAAUGGGCGAAAGCCUGAUGCAGCAACGCCGCGUGAGGGAUGAAGGCCUUCGGGUUGUAAACCUCUUUUAGCAGGGAAGAAGCGAAAGUGACGGUACCUGCAGAAAAAGCACCGGCUAACUACGUGCCAGCAGCCGCCGUAA
rnacentral:rRNA from 1 species